AGCGAACGCUGGCGGCAGGCCUAACACAUGCAAGUCGAACGGAUCCUUCGGGAUUAGUGGCGGACGGGUGAGUAACACGUGGGAACGUGCCCUUUGGUUCGGAACAACUCAGGGAAACUUGAGCUAAUACCGGAUGUGCCCUUCGGGGGAAAGAUUUAUCGCCAUUGGAGCGGCCCGCGUCUGAUUAGCUAGUUGGUGGGGUAAAGGCCCACCAAGGCGACGAUCAGUAGCUGGUCUGAGAGGAUGAUCAGCCACAUUGGGACUGAGACACGGCCCAAACUCCUACGGGAGGCAGCAGUGGGGAAUCUUGCGCAAUGGGCGAAAGCCUGACGCAGCCAUGCCGCGUGAAUGAUGAAGGUCUUAGGAUUGUAAAAUUCUUUCACCGGGGACGAUAAUGACGGUACCCGGAGAAGAAGCCCCGGCUGACUUCGUGCCAGCCGCCGCAGUAAUAC
rnacentral:rRNA from 1 species